GCCACGAUAGUUUAGUUGGUAGAACGUCAGAGUUGUAAUCUAAGAGUCGCGUGUUCGAAACCCCAAGUCGGCUACAUCGGUG